rnacentral:rRNA from 1 species
AUUGAACGCUGGCGGCACGCUUAACACAUGCAAGUCGAGCGGUAACAUGACUAGUAGCAAUACUAGUUGAUGACGAGCGGCGGACGGGUGAGUCACACGUAGGAACUUGCCCAGUAGUGGGGGACAACCAAGGGAAACUUUGGCUAAUACCGCAUAUUCUCGAGAGAGGAAAGCUGCCGCAAGGUGGCGCUAUUGGAGAGGCCUGCGUCCGAUUAGCUAGUUGGUAGGGUAAAAGCCUACCAAGGCGAGGAUCGGUAACUGGUCUGAGAGGACGACCAGUCACACUGGGACUGAGACACGGGCCAGACUCCUACGGGAGGCAGCAGUGGGGAAUCUUUGACAAUGGGGGCAACCCUGUUACAGCGAUGCCGCGUGAGUGAAGAAGGCCUUCGGGUCGUAAAGCUCUUUAGGCUGGGAAGAAGAUUGGUAGUUUAAGAGAUAAUCAAUUUGACUGUACCAGCAGAAUAAGCACCGGCAAACUCUGUGCCAGCCGCCGCAGUAA